rnacentral:lncRNA from 1 species
GUUUUCUUAUACAUCUACCCCCUUAAAUGUACUACUAAAUUCCUUUUAAGUGAUUUGGAAUAAGAUAAAUGAUACAUUGACAAGAUUAUUCAAAAUUAUUCAAAGGAAUUUAACUUUAAUUUCAUUUGAAAGGUUUUUUUUAUUUCAUUAUCUGAAAUAUUAGAGUAUCUUUAUAAUGAAAACUUAUAUCUUUUUAAGCGAAAAAAUUGAAGUAGAUAGCCUUGCUUUCUAUGAUUAAUUAUGGUGAUUUAAAUUAAGGUAGAAAAAAUCUUUAAGGUUUAUUAAAAAUGGAGAGUUUCUUUGGUUAAAAAAAUCACAUGUAUAUCUAUACCUAAACAGAAGUAGAUCUGCCUUUGAAUGUUACUAUCAUUAUUUAGCAAGUAGUGUGUGUAUGUUAGUAGAUAUAGUAUCAUAUCAUUAUAUAUAAUUAUGAUAUUAUAGCAAUUAUGUGCAAUGGAUAUUACCAUAUUGAUUUUUACUGUGAAUGAGUGUUGGGCAAAGUAAUCAAACUAAUUAACUGACAUUCAAGAUGAGUUUUAAAGUUAAGCAAUGAUGAUUUUGAACAAUCUUAUUAGCAUCAUGGUAUAAAUGUAUCACUAAACAUGAAACAUUAUGUAAUUAGAGUAUUAUAGCUUUGAAAAAAUUGUAAUAUGUAAGAAAGUUGUUCUGUUAUCUUUGAACUUUUCUCAAAAGACGGUCUUAAAUUUCCUGUAGACAUACUUUUUGGAUUCAUUAGUUUUCGUUGGAUAUCAAUUUCCGUCGAUUUCGUUGGUACAUGUGAAUGUUCAACGAAUUACGAAUUUUCCAUUAGCUGAAUGCAGACUUUGGGAGAACCACUAGAUUUAAUGUCCACGAAAGUGUUAUUUUUUUUUCAAUCUACGAAAAUUGGUACCCACGAAAAUAAAUGAAUCCACAGUCAUAGGUUAGAAUGUAAUUUGAUAAUGCAUGUGAUUUCAUAUGGGUUUUUUUUUUAAUUCAAAUACAUGUAGUCAUUUAUUUCUACCCUGUCUCCGAUUUUUUUACAUGUUUAUUUGGUGAUUUGCUGUAAGGUUUAAAACACUGUAGACAUGGUCCAUUUCUUCUUUUCUAAAUUUUUCAUGUCAAUCAUCAAUUGAGCUGUUAUAUAUUUGAUAUCUACUACUCCAAAAUAGAAUUUUUUUUGUUAAACAAAAUAUAUUUGAUUUAGAAUUACUUGGAGGAACCAAAUGAGAAAAAGAUAACCAUAUUUUCUUUCCAAAAAUUGAAUAAAAAGAAAGAAAAAAAUUAGUGCGGCCUUAAAUAUUUGUGUAUAAUUUAUUUUUAAGGGUUAUUAAAUGUAUAGUUUUAUUGUUAAGUGCUUGUUAUUUAUAUUUGAUUUAAAGCUUAUUCAUAAUUGAUUAAUAUCUUAUAUAUUUUGUGUUAUCUUGUUUUAAAGAUAGAUUUUAGUUUGCAUAUAUAUGUACCUGAGGGGGGAUAGGACCUUUAUCGGGACUCCGGGAUCGUGUGUUUUUAAGCUUGGGAUUUCGGGAUUGACCCUUUCGGGAUCCGGGAAUUUUUUUUUUGACUUUCGGGACUUUGGGAUUUCGUGUUUUUAAGUCUGGGAUUUCGGGAUCUCGUGUUUUUAAGCCCGGGAUUUCAGGAUCAGGACCCCUCCUACCCCCUCUCAUUCACGUUAUAUUUAUUGUUGUCGUAAUAUAUAAUUAUUUUAUGCUUUGUUAGUUAUAUUAGUUUUGUUAAGAAAAUCAAAAAAGGUGAUGAACAGAAUAUGUAUGCAUGGCUUAUUUAAAUAGAUAGUAUUUAAUAGAUAUAGUGUUCAUAGUUAAAAUUUCCUUUAGUCAUAUCCAAAUUUCCCCUAAAUGGUAACAAUGCAUAUAGUUUUUUAAUUUCAUAUAUUAGACCACUGUUGGUGCCAUAAAUAUAUAUUGAUUGUCAUUUUGUUAUCACUUAAAAAAAAAGACAUCACAUUUGACAAAAAAAUGUGUCUUGGUAAAUGGUCAAAUUAUAAGUUGUUAAAAAAAUCUAUUGUGUAUGUUAAUGAUAUUUUGCACAAUUUGGAGGGUUGACCUCCUUUAACUGAACCUUAAGUGUUAAUGAUGGUGAAAUAUUGUAAAUACAAACCCAAAAAAAUUCUCCUGGUAAUAUGACUGAACAAGAAACAGUUAUUCCAUCAAGAAUUUCAUGUUGCACUAACUAAUUUCAUCCUCAUCUUUAGAAUUGUAAAAUACAGCUCAAAUUUUAAUAGAAUAACUGUUUCUGGUAUCAUAAAAAGAGCUAGGCCUUUAAAUCAUCAGCUGUUUCAACAUAUUUUUUUUUAUUAUUUAUCUUCAUUCAGAGUCAAGUCUGUUGAUUUUAAAAAUACAUACAUAAUUUGUGAACUGGGUUGAAAUGUAAACAUCUUUUGUAAGUUAGACAGUAGAUACAUCUAUUUUACCACAAAGGAAUUAUUCUCAAAUUCUUUAAGUUGAGCGAUUGCCUUAGUAAAACAUUCUUUUAAAUUCAUGAAUCUCUACAAAGUUGACUGUGAUGAAGGGUGCCUUUUUAGAAGUGAUUAUUUACAUAAAAACAAUGUGUCCUCAACCAAUUAAAAGACUCUUUGUUUAUGCUCAAAAUGUUUUUGUUCUUUAAAAACUGAUACACUGCAUUUAGAUAAUGACGAAACUCCAAUAACAUUACUACAUUGUAUUCUUGUAAGUGUUUUACAUUUUGAUUUGUUUAUUUUCAAACCAUAACUGUUUGUAUUUAACUUAUUUGUAAAAAAAAAGGCCAUUCUUAACCAAAUUUAUAUUUGAGAACCACCUCACCAAAGAAUGCAAAUGGUGACUCAUGGGUGGAAAGCCUUCACAGAAUGAAAAGUUAUAAUCAAAAUUACCCAUAAUUUCUACUUUUACCCAUGUCAUGUGAUAUAUAUAUAUAUAUAUUAUGUGAAAUUACUAUGUAAUCUGAAGUUCAUUCCAUUGUUAAUAUAAAGUCAAAUUUCUUUAAAGUUCAGGCAGUAUUUGAAGACAAAUUAUUAAUUACAGGUAAUAUGAUGUACAAGUCAAUUAUAAAAUACCCGAAAUGAAAAUGUGAAAACUUUUCUGGUUAAAUCAGAUUUUUUUCUUUAAAUUUUAUAACUGAUAUAAAGAGAAGUUUGCAGUUUGCAGUUCUCAGUUUGCAGUAAGCCCUUAUUUUUUGUUGAUAAACCUGUAUAGAUGAGGGAAAAAAAGGGCAGUGAUAAGAAAUCCACAUUUACCUAAACAAAACAAAACAAAUAGUUUUGUAACAUUUGUAAUAUUUAUUUUAGACAAAAAAGAUUUUUAUAGUGGUGAUUUUUAGUAUAUUUUGUAUUUAUUUUAUUUUAUGUUAAUGUUAUCAUUAGGGACCAUUCAUGAAUGUUUGUUAGAGAGAUAAGUUAUUGAUAUGAGUGUUGUCAUUUUUAAAGGGAAAGAAUAUUAAAAAGUGCUUAAAACUAUU